rnacentral:rRNA from 1 species
GGGGCACUGGGCGGGGUGCUAUACAUGCAAGUCGAACGAACUCUGGUAUUGAUUGGUGCUUGCAUCAUGAUUUACAUUUGAGUGAGUGGCGAACUGGUGAGUAACACGUGGGAAACCUGCCCAGAAGCGGGGGAUAACACCUGGAAACAGAUGCUAAUACCGCAUAACAACUUGGACCGCAUGGUCCGAGUUUGAAAGAUGGCUUCGGCUAUCACUUUUGGAUGGUCCCGCGGCGUAUUAGCUAGAUGGUGGGGUAACGGCUCACCAUGGCAAUGAUACGUAGCCGACCUGAGAGGGUAAUCGGCCACAUUGGGACUGAGACACGGCCCAAACUCCUACGGGAGGCAGCAGUAGGGAAUCUUCCACAAUGGACGAAAGUCUGAUGGAGCAACGCCGCGUGAGUGAAGAAGGGUUUCGGCUCGUAAAACUCUGUUGUUAAAGAAGAACAUAUCUGAGAGUAACUGUUCAGGUAUUGACGGUAUUUAACCAGAAAGCCACGGCUAACUACGUGCCAGCAGCCGCGGUAAUACGUAGGUGGCAAGCGUUGUCCGGAUUUAUUGGGCGUAAAGCGAGCGCAGGCGGUUUUUUAAGUCUGAUGUGAAAGCCUUCGGCUCAACCGAAGAAGUGCAUCGGAAACUGGGAAACUUGAGUGCAGAAGAGGACAGUGGAACUCCAUGUGUAGCGGUGAAAUGCGUAGAUAUAUGGAAGAACACCAGUGGCGAAGGCGGCUGUCUGGUCUGUAACUGACGCUGAGGCUCGAAAGUAUGGGUAGCAAACAGGAUUAGAUACCCUGGUAGUCCAUACCGUAAACGAUGAAUGCUAAGUGUUGGAGGGUUUCCGCCCUUCAGUGCUGCAGCUAACGCAUUAAGCAUUCCGCCUGGGGAGUACGGCCGCAAGGCUGAAACUCAAAGGAAUUGACGGGGGCCCGCACAAGCGGUGGAGCAUGUGGUUUAAUUCGAAGCUACGCGAAGAACCUUACCAGGUCUUGACAUACUAUGCAAAUCUAAGAGAUUAGACGUUCCCUUCGGGGACAUGGAUACAGGUGGUGCAUGGUUGUCGUCAGCUCGUGUCGUGAGAUGUUGGGUUAAGUCCCGCAACGAGCGCAACCCUUAUUAUCAGUUGCCAGCAUUAAGUUGGGCACUCUGGUGAGACUGCCGGUGACAAACCGGAGGAAGGUGGGGAUGACGUCAAAUCAUCAUGCCCCUUAUGACCUGGGCUACACACGUGCUACAAUGGAUGGUACAACGAGUUGCGAACUCGCGAGAGUAAGCUAAUCUCUUAAAGCCAUUCUCAGUUCGGAUUGUAGGCUGCAACUCGCCUACAUGAAGUCGGAAUCGCUAGUAAUCGCGGAUCAGCAUGCCGCGGUGAAUACGUUCCCGGGCCUUGUACACACCGCCCGUCACACCAUGAGAGUUUGUAACACCCAAAGUCGGUGGGGUAACCUUUUAGGAACCAGCCGCCUAAGGUGACAGAUUGGG